GAUGAAGAACGCAGCGAAAUGCGAUAAGUAAUGUGAAUUGCAGAAUUCAGUGAAUCAUCGAAUCUUUGAACGCACAUUGCGCCCGCCAGUAUUCUGGCGGGCAUGCCUGUUCGAGCGUCAUUUCAACCAUCAAGCCCCCGGCUUGUGUUGGGGACCUGUGGCUGCCGCAGGCCCUGAAAAGCAGUGGCGGGCUCGCUGUCACACCGAGCGUAGUAGCAUACAUCUCGCUCUGGGCGUGCUGCGGGUUCCGGCCGUUAAACCACCUUCAUAACCCAAGGUUGACCUCGGAUCAGGUAGGAAGACCCGCUGAACUUAAGCAUAUCAAUAAGCGGAGGA
rnacentral:misc_RNA from 1 species